CAGCCGCCACGGUAAUACGAAGGGGGCUAGCGUUGUUCGGAUUUACUGGGCGUAAAGCGCACGUAGGCGGACUUUUAAGUCAGGGGUGAAAUCCCGGGGCUCAACCCCGGAACUGCCUUUGAUACUGGAAGUCUUGAGUAUGGUAGAGGUGAGUGGAAUUCCGAGUGUAGAGGUGAAAUUCGUAGAUAUUCGGAGGAACACCAGUGGCGAAGGCGGCUCACUGGACCAUUACUGACGCUGAGGUGCGAAAGCGUGGGGAGCAAACAGGAUUAGAUACCCCAGUAGUCCCUGUCUCUUAUAU
rnacentral:rRNA from 1 species